GGCGGACGUAGUCCAAGU
rnacentral:tRNA from 1 species